UGAGGAAUAUUGGUCAAUGGACGAGAGUCUGAACCAGCCAAGUAGCGUGCAGGAUGACGGCCCUAUGGGUUGUAAACUGCUUUUGUUUGGGAAUAAUCGACAUUACGUGUAAUGUUUUGCAUGUACCAUUCGAAUAAGGACCGGCUAAUUCCGUGCCAGCAGCCGCGGUAAUACGGAAGGUCCAGGCGUUAUACGGAUUUAUUGGGUUUAAAGGGAGUGUAGGCGGUUGGUUAAGCGUGUUGUGAAAUGUAGAUGCUCAACAUCUGACUUGCAGCGCGAACUGGCUGACUUGAGUACACACAACGUAGGCGGAAUUCAUGGUGUAGCGGUGAAAUGCUUAGAUAUCAUGAAGAACUCCGAUUGCGAAGGCAGCUUACGGGAGUGUUACUGACGCUUAAGCUCGAAGGUGCGGGUAUCGAACAGG
rnacentral:rRNA from 1 species